AACGAACGCUGGCGGCGGGCCUAACACAUGCAAGUCGAGCGAAGCCUUCGGGCUUAGCGGCGGACGGGUGAGUAACGCGUGGGAACGUGCCCUUUGCUACGGAAUAGCCCCGGGAAACUGGGAGUAAUACCGUAUGUGCCCUUCGGGGGAAAGAUUUAUCGGCAAAGGAUCGGCCCGCGUUGGAUUAGGUAGUUGGUGGGGUAAUGGCCUACCAAGCCGACGAUCCAUAGCUGGUUUGAGAGGAUGAUCAGCCACACUGGGACUGAGACACGGCCCAGACUCCUACGGGAGGCAGCAGUGGGGAAUCUUAGACAAUGGGCGGAAGCCUGAUCUAGCCAUGCCGCGUGAUCGAUGAAGGCCUUAGGGUUGUAAGAUCUUUCAGGUGGGAAGAUAAUGACUGUACCGCCAGAAGAAGCCCCGGCUAACUCCGUGCCAGCCGCCGCAGUAACAC
rnacentral:rRNA from 1 species